AUGCUGCCGGCUGGCGCCAAGUUUGAUCCCAUGGAUCAGGAGCUAAUCGAGCACCUUGAGGCCAAAGUGAGUGCUAACAGUGCGAGAUCUCACCCUCUCAUCGAUUUGUUCAUACCAACCAUCAAUAGCAAGCACGACAUAUGCUACACCAAUCCUGAGAAGCUUCCAAUGCAAUUCCAGGGUGUUCAAAAGGGGCACGUGGACGCCUCGCAAGAUACAACCGGAGUGCGGCAUGCACGUGAUGUGGCACAAGACCGGCAAUACCUUGCCAGUGAUGGUCAACGGCCGGCAGAUGGGCAACAAAAAGGUUCUGGUGCUGCACACCAACAAGAACUGCGACUAGCAGAGGACCAACUGGGUGAUGCACCAGUAACACCUCGGGGACCUGGAGCAAGAGAAGGAGCAGGAGCUGGUCAAGCAAGUUUCAACUGGGCUGUAGACUGCCUAGGCUUGUUUUUGUUUUUAACAGGCCCAAACCAUGACGACAACAGGGCACAGUGA
rnacentral:rRNA from 1 species